GUAGGUGGCAAGCGUUGUCCGGAAUUAUUGGGCGUAAAGCGCGCGCAGGCGGUUCUUUAAGUCUGAUGUGAAAGCCCACGGCUCAACCGUGGAGGGUCAUUGGAAACUGGAGAACUUGAGUACAGAAGGGGAAAGCGGAAUUCCACGUGUAGCGGUGAAAUGCGUAGAGAUGUGGAGGAACACCAGUGGCGAAGGCGGCUUUCUGGUCUGUAACUGACGCUGAGGCGCGAAAGCGUGGGGAGCAAACAGGAUUAGAUACCCUGGUAGUCCACGCCGUAAACGAUGAGUGCUAAGUGUUAGGGGGGUUUCCGCCCCCCUUAGUGCUGCAGCUAACGCAUUAAGCACUCCGCCUGGGAGUACGGCCGCAAGGCUG
rnacentral:rRNA from 1 species